GUUACUGAGGAAUUUCUUUCUGUAGAUCACAACCAUCCCUAUCCGAAGAAUUGACAGAAGACGAAGUAGAACCUUCGAAACGGGCGCGAGGGGGAGAAAAUGAUGCAGGAUGUUCUGACGAGAGGUCUGUUGCAGCUAAUAAGCCGUGUCCAGGUAUUUUUUUUUUUAGUAAUAAUUAAAAUCAGAAUCAGUAUAAGCAUAAAAAA